rnacentral:lncRNA from 12 species
CAACUUCCAAUUAUUAUGACUUGUUAAUUUUGUUUUCGUAUACUAUAGGAUAUGUUUUGGAGUUGCAGACAGAGUAUCUUUGCUGAAAUGAAGAAGAAAUUUUCACAGGCAGAGUGUGCUGCUGAGGAGCCCCGGGUGCUGUGCAUAAUCCAGGACACCACCAAUGCCAAGACGGUGAACGAGCGCGUGACCCUGAACCUGCCGGCCUCCACCCCGCUGCGCCAACUCUUCCAGGACGUGGCUGCCAAAGUGGGCUACGAGAAUGGCUCCUUUGAGCUGCUCUGGGGCAACGGGGACAGUGCCAGGGGGGGGGGGGGGGGGGGGGGGGGGGGGGGGGGGGGGGGGGGGGGGGGGGGGGGGGGGGGGGGGGG